CAGCAAUGCCGCGUGAGUGAAGAAGGCCUUCGGGUUGUAAAGCUCUUUUGUCAGGGAAGAAACGGUAGAGGCUAAUAUCCUUUGCUAAUGACGGUACCUGAAGAAUAAGCACCGGCUAACUACGUGCCAGCAGCCGCGGUAAUACGUAGGGUGCGAGCGUUGUCCGGAAUUACUGGGCGUAAAGAGCUCGUAGGUGGUUUGUCGCGUCGUCUGUGAAAUUCCGGGGCUUAACUCCGGGCGUGCAGGCGAUACGGGCAUAACUUGAGUGCUGUAGGGGAGACUGGAAUUCCUGGUGUAGCGGUGAAAUGCGCAGAUAUCAGGAGGAACACCGGUGGCGAAGGCGGGUCUCUGGGCAGUAACUGACGCUGAGGAGCGAAAGCGUGGGGAGCGAACAGGAUUAGAUACCCUGGUAGUCCACGCCGUAAACGUUGGGCGCUAGGUGUGGGGCUCAUUCCACGAGUUCCGUGCCGCAGCUAACGCAUUAAGCGCCCCGCCUGGGGAGUACGGCCGCAAGGCUAAAACUCAAAG
rnacentral:rRNA from 1 species